UGAGUAACACGUAUGCAACCUGCCUGCCACAGCCGGAUAAUCGGGAGAAAUUCCGUCUAAUACGGCAUAAUGCAUCGACGGGACAUCCUGUUGGUGCCAAAGGUUGACUCCGGUGGCGGAUGGGCAUGCGUCGCAUUAGUUAGUUGGCGGUGUAACGGACCACCAAGACGACGAUGCGUAGGGGUUCUGAGAGGAAGGUCCCCCACACUGGUACUGAGACACGGACCAGACUCCUACGGGAGGCAGCAG
rnacentral:rRNA from 1 species